UACGUAGGGGGCGAGCGUUGUCCGGAUUCAUUGGGCGUAAAGCGCGCGUAGGCGGCCUGUCGCGUCAGCGGUGAAAGGUGUGGGCUCAACCCGCACAUUGCUGCUGAUACGGGCAGGCUCGAGGCUGGAAGAGGAGAGUGGAAUGCCCUGUGUAGCGGUGAAAUGCGCAGAUAUAGGGCAGAACACCCGUGGCGAAGGCGGCUCUCUGGGACAGUUCUGACGCUGAGGUGCGAAAGCGUGGGGAGCAAACAGG
rnacentral:rRNA from 1 species